CGAAAAUAAAGUAUCAAUACCAAUGUUCCUUUUGGUUUACUCCGAAUUUUUUCUUCCAUUUAUAAACAUACCUUGCCUAAAACUACAAAAAAAUACAGUAAAAGACACACCUGAACGAAAAAAAUACAGUUAUUUUUGGACCAUAGUUGGGAGCUUUGGUAUAUAGGCCUCGUGCAUGAACUAUAGGGGGCAGCAUAGGAGCCGUCAGAUAUUUGGCGCGAGGCGUAAAUAUGUCGUUUAUGCUUCCGAUGUAGCCCACAAGAUGGCAGAACCUACUAUGCAC